AUUGAACGCUGGCGGCAGGCCUAACACAUGCAAGUCGAGCGGAUGAAGGGAGCUUGCUCCUGGAUUCAGCGGCGGACGGGUGAGUAAUGCCUAGGAAUCUGCCUGGUAGUGGGGGAUAACGUCCGGAAACGGGCGCUAAUACCGCAUACGUCCUGAGGGAGAAAGUGGGGGAUCUUCGGACCUCACGCUAUCAGAUGAGCCUAGGUCGGAUUAGCUAGUUGGUGGGGUAAAGGCCUACCAAGGCGACGAUCCGUAACUGGUCUGAGAGGAUGGUCAGUCACACUGGAACUGAGACACGGUCCAGACUCCUACGGGAGGCAGCAGUGGGGAAUAUUGGACAAUGGGCGAAAGCCUGAUCCAGCCAUGCCGCGUGUGUGAAGAAGGUCUUCGGAUUGUAAAGCACUUUAAGUUGGGAGGAAGGGCAGUAAGUUAAUACCUUGCUGUUCUGACGUUACCAACAGAAUAAGCACCGGCUAACUUCGUG
rnacentral:rRNA from 1 species